AGAAUCAACGCUGGCGGCGUGCCUAACACAUGCAAGUCGAGCGGAAAGGCCCUUCGGGGUACUCGAGCGGCGAACGGGUGAGUAACACGUGAGCAACCUGCCCUUAGCUCUGGGAUAGCUCCGGGAAACCGGAAUUAAUACCGGAUAUUACACCGGCUGGCAUCGGCUGGUGUGGAAAGAUUUAUCGGCUAAGGAUGGACUCGCGGCCUAUCAGCUUGUUGGUGGGGUAGAAGCCUACCAAGGCGACGACGGGUA
rnacentral:rRNA from 1 species